rnacentral:rRNA from 1 species
UACGUAGGUGGCAAGCGUUGUCCGGAAUUACUGGGUGUAAAGGGCGUGUAGGCGGGAUGUUAAGUCAGAUGUGAAAUUCCGAAGCUCAACUUCGGAGCUGCAUCUGAAACUGAUGUUCUUGAGUGCUGGAGAGGAUAGUGGAAUUCCUAGUGUAGCGGUGAAAUGCGUAGAUAUUAGGAGGAACACCAGUGGCGAAGGCGGCUAUCUGGACAGUAACUGACGCUGAGGCGCGAAAGCGUGGGGAGCAAACAGG